rnacentral:lncRNA from 1 species
UCUCUUAACCCUAUUUUUUUUCAUCUAAUUAUUGAUAUAGUUUUGCUCUUACUUGUUGUUAAGUGCAUGUAUAGGCUUAGAUUUUAUUUUUUAUUUUUAAAUGAUUUUUUAAAAUACUAGUAUUGUGUUUCUUUGUUGAGUUAUAUCAUUCAUGGACUAAUAUUGUACUUUUAUGUAAUAAUUUUUUUUAAAAAAAUCACUUACAAUCGUAAGAGGUGUUUUCUGAGAUUAAAGGUGAUUGAAGAGAUGAAAAGAUUAUAAUGGAGAUUUAUAUAGAAUAUAAGACUUAUAAAAAGUCUUAUAAGUAAAGUUGAAAGUGAUUUAAGAGUGAAUUCAUUAGUUUACUUAUAAAGAAGAUAUUUUGGGUUUCUAAAGCAACAUCUUUUUAUUGAAUCUUUUGCAUCAAGCAUAAAAGAAGAGAGUAAAUUACUUAUGAAUAAUGAAAUAUAGGAAUUUACUCAACUUCCACCAAAUUAAUCUUUAAUUUAUUAUACAUGGGUAUUUAGAACCGAAAAGAAUAUAAUAGAUAAUGUUAUAAGGUAUAAGACUAGAUUGGUUGCUAAAGAGUAUUUAUAAAUUUUUAGUACUGAUUU